rnacentral:rRNA from 1 species
CGGCAGCACGGAGAGCUUGCUCCCUGGUGGCGAGUGGCGAACGGGUGAGUAAUAUAUCGGAACGUGUCCAAUAAUGGGGGAUAACGAGUCGAAAGAUUCGCUAAUACCGCAUACGCCCUACGGGGGAAAGCAGGGGAUCGUAAGACCUUGCGUUAAUGGAGCGGCCGAUAUCUGAUUAGCUUGUUGGUGAGGUAAAGGCUCACCAAGGCGACGAUCAGUAGCUGGUUUGAGAGAACGACCAGCCACACUGGAACUGAGACACGGUCCAGACUCCUACGGGAGGCAGCAGUGGGAAUUUUGGACAAUGGGGGCAACCCUGAUCCAGCCAUUCCGCGUGAGUGAAGAAGGCCUUCGGGUUGUAAAGCUCUUUCGCAAGGGAAGAAAACUUAUGAUCGAAUAAAUCAUGAGGUUGACGGUACCUUGAUAAGAAGCACCGGCUAACUACGUGCCAGCAGCCGCGGUAAUACGUAGGGUGCGAGCGUUAAUCGGAAUUACUGGGCGUAAAGCGUGCGCAGGCGGU